GGCAGUCUAGAGUGCGUCAGAGGGGGGUGGAAUUCCACGUGUAGCAGUGAAAUGCGUAGAGAUGUGGAGGAACACCGAUGGCGAAGGCAGCCCCCUGGGAUGACACUGACGCUCAUGUACGAAAGCGUGGGUAGCAAACAGGAUUAGAUACCCUGGUAGUCCACGCCCUAAACGAUGUCAACUGGUUGUUGGGGGAGUGAAAUCCCUUAGUAACGAAGCUAACGCGUGAAGUUGACCGCCAGGGGAGUACGGUCGCAAGAUUAAAACUCAAAGGAAUUGACGGGGACCCGCACAAGCGGUGGAUGAUGUGGAUUAAUUCGAUGCAACGCGAAAAACCUUACCUACCCUUGACAUGUCCGGAAUCCUGCAGAGAUGCGGGAGUGCCCGAAAGGGAAUCGGAACACAGGUGCUGCAUGGCUGUCGUCAGCUCGCCUCCCCCACGUGUUGGGUUAAGUCCCGCAACGAGCGCAACCCUUAUCAUUAGUUGCUACGCAAGGGCACUCUAAUGAGACUGCCGGUGACAAACCGGAGGAAGGUGGGGAUGACGUCAAGUCCUCAUGGCCCUUAUGGGUAGGGCUUCACACGUCAUACAAUGGUCGGUACAGAGGGUUGCCAAGCCGCGAGGUGGAGCCAAUCCCAGAAAGCCGAUCGUAGUCCGGCUUGUUCUCUGCAACUCGAGAGCAUGAAGUCGGAAUCGCUAGUAAUCGCGGAUCAGCAUGUCGCGGUGAAUACGUUCCCGGGUCUUGUACACACCGCCCGUCACACCUAUGGGUAGUGGCAAUCGUGCACUCAAAGUUGCUUGCGAC
rnacentral:rRNA from 1 species